UACGUAGGGCGCAAGCGUUAUCCGGAAUUAUUGGGCGUAAAGAGCUCGUAGGCGGUUUGUCGCGUCUGCCGUGAAAGUCCGGGGCUCAACUCCGGAUCUGCGGUGGGUACGGGCAGACUAGAGUGAUGUAGGGGAGACUGGAAUUCCUGGUGUAGCGGUGAAAUGCGCAGAUAUCCGGAGGAACACCAAUGGCGAAGGCAGUGUCCUGGGAAGCAUCUGACGCUCAGGUGCGGAAAGCUAGGGGAGCGAACGAGG
rnacentral:rRNA from 1 species